rnacentral:rRNA from 1 species
AUGUGCGCCGGGAAAACACCACCGUGUCCUGUAUCUCCUCUUUCUUCUACCUUCGUUCGUGCGAGAGAUAGAGAGAGAGAGGGCGAGAGGGAGCUGGGCACCGGCGCAAAGAGCAAGCUAGGGCUCGGUGCCAACAUUUGGUAUCAUGAGCUGGUUCAUCUUGGGUGUCGUCCCCUUGCCGGAGGCGUGCCGGCGGUGGCGGCGUUCGCCGGCGGCUGCGCGGUGAAACUCCGGGCCGUGUGUCGGCUUGUGGAGGUGCGCGGCGCUGCGGCUGCCAUGGCGGGCGCGGAGGCGGCGCGCCGUGAGUACACGGCGUCUGGUGCAGUCGGGCUCGUCGGGCGCGCCGGGUGCACGCGGGACGUGCGGGGCGCAGAGGGACACCAGGCAUGUGUCGCCGGCGGAGAAGGAGCUCGGCGUGUGUCGCCGGAGUCGUGA